GAGGGUGUGGAUUCUGCAAUGCUGCACAGAAAUCUACUGCAGCCUCAGACCAACAGCAGCGGCGGCGGCGGCGGCAGCAGCAGCAGCAGCAGCAUUAGCAUUAGCAGCAGCAGCUUCUCUCAAUGCUGAGUAUUGAAUACAGAUAAUCAUGAGGCCCAAGACCCUAAGGAACAGUGCAGCCAGGAGUCGGAAGGAGCCUGGGUUUCUGAAUCAUCACAUGGAGGGGAGCUAUCUUCAGCUGGGAGAGCUGUCUUCAGUUGGAUUCUGGGAGGAAGAAAGGGAGCUGGUUAGGAAGCAAACUUGAGUUUCCCAUGCUCUGUGGCUGAGCAAGUCACUUCACCAUUCUCAGGAUGGAAGUGGGGAUGGAGGUGGCAUCAGCCUCAUUUGAACCACAUGGACUAAGAGGGGCUAUGGGGGUAUUCCCCAAAGGAAGACUGAGGGGCGUUACUAGAAAAUGGGAGAAUGGAAGCAGAGU
rnacentral:antisense_RNA from 1 species